rnacentral:rRNA from 1 species
GAUGAACGCUGGCGGCGUGCCUAAUACAUGCCAGUCGAGCGAACGGACGAGAAGCUUGCUUCUCUGAUGUUAGCGGCGGACGGGUGAGUAACACGUGGAUAACCUACCUAUAAGACUGGGAUAACUUCGGGAAACCGGAGCUAAUACCGGAUGAUAUUUUGAACCGCAUGGUUCAAAAGUGAAAGACGGUCUUGCUGUCACUUAUAGAUGGAUCCGCGCUGCAUUAGCUAGUUGGUAAGGUAACGGCUUACCAAGGCAACGAUGCAUAGCCGACCUGAGAGGGUGAUCGGGCACACUGGAACUGAGACACGGUCCAGACUCCUACGGGAGGCAGCAGUAGGGAAUCUUCCGCAAUGGGCGAAAGCCUGACGGAGCAACGCCGCGUGAGUGAUGAAGGUCUUCGGAUCGUAAAACUCUGUUAUUAGGGAAGAACAUAUGUGUAAGUAACUGUGCACAUCUUGACGGUACCUAAUCAGAAAGCCACGGCUAACUACGUG